AGCAGCCGCGGUAAUUCCAGCUCCAAUAGCGUAUAUUAAGGUUGUUGCAGUUAAAAAGCUCGUAGUUGAAUUUCGGGAUCAAUAUAUUGGUCAUGCUUAGGUAUGUACUGGUAUUAUUGAUUUCUCCCUUCUGAAGAACCAUAAUGUCAUUAAUUUGAUGUCAUGGGGAAUCAGGACUGUUACUUUGAAAAAAUUAGAGUGUUUAAAGCAGGCUUUCGCUUGAAUACAUUAGCAUGGAAUAAUGAAAUAGGACGUUUGAUUCUAUUUUGUGGUUUCUAGGAUCGACGUAAUGAUUAAUAGGGAUAGUUGGGGGCAUUAGUAUUCAAUUGUCAGAGGUGAAAUUCUUGGAUUUAUUGAAGACUAACUACUGCGAAAGCAUUUGCCAAGGAUGUUUUCAUUAAUCAAGAACGAAAGUUAGGGAUCGAAGACGAUCAGAUACCGUCGUAGUACUUAACCAUAAACUAUGCCGACUAGGGAUCGGAUGAUGUUAAUUUUUAUGUACUC
rnacentral:rRNA from 1 species